ACCAGACUCCUACGGGAGGCAGCAGUGGGGAAUAUUGGGCAAUGGGCGCAAGCCUGACCCAGCAACGCCGCGUGAAGGAAGAAGGCUUUCGGGUUGUAAACUUCUUUUCUCAGGGACGAAGCAAGUGACGGUACCUGAGGAAUAAGCCACGGCUAACUACGUGCCAGCAGCCGCGGUAAUACGUAGGUGGCAAGCGUUAUCCGGAUUUACUGGGUGUAAAGGGCGUGUAGGCGGGGACGCAAGUCAGAUGUGAAAACCACGGGCUCAACCUGUGGCCUGCAUUUGAAACUGUGUUUCUUGAGUACUGGAGAGGCAGACGGAAUUCCUAGUGUAGCGGUGAAAUGCGUAGAUAUUAGGAGGAACACCAGUGGCGAAGGCGGUCUGCUGGGCUUUUACUGACACUGAGGCUCGAAAGUGUGGGGAGCAAACAGGAUUAGAUACCCGGGUA
rnacentral:rRNA from 1 species